UACGUAGGGUGCAAGCGUUAAUCGGAAUUACUGGGCGUAAAGCGCGCGCAGGCGGUUCGCUAAGACAGAUGUGAAAUCCCCGGGCUUAACCUGGGAACUGCAUUUGUGACUGGCGGGCUAGAGUAUGGCAGAGGGGGGUAGAAUUCCACGUGUAGCAGUGAAAUGCGUAGAGAUGUGGAGGAAUACCGAUGGCGAAGGCAGCCCCCUGGGCCAAUACUGACGCUCAUGCACGAAAGCGUGGGGAGCAAACAGG
rnacentral:rRNA from 1 species